UACGGAGGGCGCAAGCGUUGUUCGGAAUCACUGGGCGUAAAGCGCGUGUAGGCGGCCCUGCAAGUCGGGUGUGAAAUCCCGAGGCUCAACCUCGGAACUGGACUCGAAACUGCUUGGCUCGAGUCCCGGAGAGGGUGGCGGAAUUCCCGGUGUAGGGGUGAAAUCCGUAGAUAUCGGAAGGAACACCAGUGGCGAAGGCGGCCACCUGGACGGUGACUGACGCUGAGACGCGAAAGCGUGGGGAGCAAACAGG
rnacentral:rRNA from 1 species